rnacentral:rRNA from 1 species
GAUGAACGCUGGCGGCGUGCCUAACACAUGCAAGUCGAACGGAGAUUACGGACGGAAGUUUUCGGAUGGAAGCCUGUAAUUCUUAGUGGCGGACGGGUGAGUAACGCGUGGGCAACCUGCCCUAUACAGGGGGAUAGCAGCUGGAAACGGCUGGUAAGACCGCAUAAGUCGGUUAAAUCGCAUGAUUUGAUCGGGAAAUGAGCAAUCAGGUAUAGGAUGGGCCCGCGUCCGAUUAGCCAGUUGGCAGGGUAAAAGCCUACCAAAGCGACGAUCGGUAGCCGGACUGAGAGGUCGGACGGCCACAUUGGGACUGAGACACGGCCCAAACUCCUACGGGAGGCAGCAGUGGGGGAUAUUGCACAAUGGAGGAAACUCUGAUGCAGCGACGCCGCGUGGGUGAAGAAGUAUUUCGGUAUGUAAAGCUCUAUCAGCAGGGAAGAUGAUGACGGUACCUGACUAAGAAGCCCCGGCUAACUACGUG